AAUAUUGGACAAUGGACCAAAAGUCUGAUCCAGCAAUUCUGUGUGUUUGAUGAAGGCCUUCGGGGUUGUAAAGAACUUUCAGUGGGGAAGAAGCAAGUGACGGUACCCACAGAAGAAGCGACGGCUAAAUACGUGCCAGCAGCCGCGGUAAUACGUAUGUCGCAAGCGUUAUCCGGAAUUAUUGGGCAUAAAGGGCGUCUAGGCGGUCUAAUAAGUCUGAUGUGAAAAUAGCGGGGCUCAACUCCGUAUUGCGUUGGAAACUGUUAGACUAGAGUUUUGGAGAGGUAGGCGGAACUACAAGUGUAGAGGUGAAAUUCGUAGAGAUUUGUAGGAAUGCCGAUGACGAAGGUAGCUUACUGGACAAAUACUGACGCUGAAGCGCGAAAGCUAGGGGAGCAAACAGGAUUAGAUACCCUGGUAG
rnacentral:rRNA from 1 species